rnacentral:rRNA from 1 species
GAAGGCGAAAUGAAAGUGAAGGUUGUCUCUUCGACNACCGNNGCGGGAUNCUUUGACCCGUGGACNAUNAGGGGUGCNAACGGANAGGUUUCNGCUUCUUNUUUUGCNANANAAAUCCCCCNUCCUCACNUAUUAACCNNGCCGUGAAGGCUACAUCAAAAAAGAAANNUUUUUUUUUUUUUUGUACCCGGGGGCGCACCGCCGGCCCGUCGCAGCCGCCGUCUCAUCUCCUCGGAGGUUUGGCGUAUGCGUAGAAAUGUAUUUUUCUUGCGUGAAAAAAGUCGGCGCGGCGGAGCUAGAGCACGCACGUGGGGACCCGAAAGAUGGUGAACUAUGCCCGGGCAGGACGAAGCCAGAGGAAACUCUGGUGGAGGUCCGCAGCGAUUCUGACGUGCAAAUCGAUCGUCGGACCCGGGUAUACGGGCGAAAAACUAAUCCAACCAUCUA